rnacentral:rRNA from 1 species
GAUGAACGCUAGCUACAGGCUUAACACAUGCAAGUCGAGGGUAACGGGGGUGCUUGCACCCGCCGACGACCGGCGAAUGGGUGAGUAACGCGUAUCCAACCUGCCCCGUGCCCGGGGAUAGCCCUUAGAAAUGAGGAUUAAGACCCGAUAUGUACUCUUUCCGCAUGGAUGGUGUAUGAAGCAGGCAUGGGAUGGGGAUGCGUUGGAUUAGCUGGUUGGCGGGGUAACGGCCCACCAAGGCAACGAUCCAUAGGGGUUCUGAGAGGAAGGUCCCCCACAUUGGUACUGAGACACGGACCAAACUCC